UUCAAUUAACAGUUCUGUGCUGAAGUUAAUCUAAAUGGCCAAAGCAAGAUGCAUAUCUGGUGGUUGAGAGUGGACCUGACAGUGUAUAUUUACUGGAAUGUCAUAAGCUAUUCACUGAUUCCCAAAGAGAGACAAUACGGAAACAAAAGAGAGGAGGCAUUUGUUAUUGUAACAAAAAUAUCAGAUGGCAGCUCAUUCCACUAUGUGAGGAGUCAGACUGGGUUUGUGCUUGCUCACUGGGAAUAGAGAGUGUACAGAGCUCUUCUCACCCUGUGUGGAGUCAGACCGCUUUUACGCAUGAGCACAGGGGUACAGCGUAUUCGGUAUGGACUUACUAAAGUCAGAUGUAUGACUGGAACAUCACUAGUAUGGAGGAAUAAACUAUCGUUGGAUAAAUAAUUGGCACUGGUGGUGCAGCAGGUGGCUUUUGGAUAGCAUCGGGUGCCUUUUGACUUUUGUCUGUUAGCUAAGAAAAGUGCUGCUUUGAUCUGCACUGGUUAUUAUUCAUUCAUUUAAUAAGGGUAGCAUGAGAAACGGAAACA